AUUCUCAAUAAGACCUCUCUUAAUUGUUUCUGAUGCAUCUAAAGGCUUUUGACAUACGCUCAGCCUAAAAAGAGUAUUAUCUUUUUACGUAAACGUCCUCCAACUUUUACUUAAAAAAUUUAAAUAGCCGCAUUCUUAGAAAUAAGAUCUGGGCAUAUACAAAAUAGUGUUUUAAUUAUAUAAUUGAGUAGUUCGUAGAAUGUAAUUAUACGAUCGAAUAUAGGAGAGUCAACUUCUAAGGCUAUAACACUUAGUUUCGAUAGUGAACAGUAUUGUGAAUGAAGGGGUGAAAAUUUAUCAGCAUGAGAAGUGAAAAAUCUACUGAAACUUAAUGUGUAUACUGUUAGUGCAUCAGCUAUAACGUACCUUUUGCAUAAUGGGCUAGCGAGUUAAUAUGUAUAGCAAGCUUAAAUCUUUGUAGGCGUAGGUAAUUCGAACAAAGUUAUACUUAUUAGACCCGAAACUAAUCGAUCUAAUUAUGGACAGGCUGAGGGUAUACCUGAGGGCCGAACCCGUGACUGUUGCAUUAGUCUGGGAUGAUCUGUAAUUAGGGGUGAAAGGCCAUUCAAGAUUAGUGAUAGCUGGUUCUCCACGAAAAUUAUCUUAGUAACGAGUAUGUGAUUUUUUAGUUAAGGUAAAGUCAUCUUUAAGUACGGUGAUAGAAUAUUCGACCAUAUUUCGAGAAACUAAUAAUGUAACUAAAACAAUACAUAUAUUUAGACGUAUUCGCGCAAAGGUGAUACGUCAAGAGGGAAACAGCCCAGACCGGUUGAUAAGGCGCCUAAUAGUAGUUAAGUAAAAAGGUUUAGUUAUGGUAAAUUACUUAGGGGAUAGGCUUGGAAGCAGCCAUUCAUUAAAGAAAGAGUAAAAGCUCACUAAGUCAAUAUAACAUAACGAUAAUAUAUGUUAAGCCAUAACUUUUCCGAUAAUGUAUAGGCAUUAAAAUUACUAGCCGAAGCUCCGGAAAUAAUAUUUGGUAGUGGAGUUUUCUGUAAACCGUUGAAGAUUAAUUGCGAAAUUAGUUCGAGGUAUCAGUAUUAAUUAUGCUAGCGAUAGUAACGUAAAGUUGUGAUGAGUUAUCACGACCGCCGAAAAUUCUAGAGUUUCAUUAAAAGGGAUAACCUCAAUGGCUGAUGCGUCCUCUUAGAAAAAGACCAACGUCGUAAGUUCAAAGAGCGGACUUCUAAUUUGACCUUUUUACAGUUUUAUUUUGAAUAUUAGUUUAGUUCUCGUAAAGUUGUAUUUAGCUAGAAAAAUAUUAGUUGCUCUUAAGUUAAUUAAGAUGUGUUUUUCUCCGCAGAGCGUAUUAAAUCUGACACUAGUGAAUGGGUAGAAUAUACUAAGGCGAUAGAAUAAUGUAAUUGAAGGAACUCGGCAAAUUGACCCUGUAACAUCUGGAGAAGGGGGGCUUUAGUAAAUUAAAGCAUCUAAAAAGAGGGGAUGGCGACUGUUUAUCAAAAACACAGGACUUUGCUAAAUUUAAUAAUGAUGUAUAAAGUCUGACACCUGCCCGGUUCUUUUAAGUAAAAGAUUAUAAGUAUUGCUUAUUAGUCUAAGCUGAAGUAAACGGCGGCUGUAACUCUGACGGUCCGAAGGUAGCGAAAUUCAUCGGCGGGUAAGUUCCGUCCUGCAUGAAUGGUGUAACGACUGUCCCACUGUCUCCAAUUACAAUCUAGUGAAGCCGAAUACUAGGUGAAAAUGCCUAGAUAGAACAGCGGGACGGAAAGACCCCGUGCACCUUUACUAGAACCUUGUAUUACUUUAGUGUUUUAAUACACUACAGGAGAAGAAAUUCAACUACUGUGGCUAUUAAAAUCUUUAGAUUAGGACUAACCAUACGAUGAGAGUCUAAAAUUGCAAGGAUGCUAGUUUCACUGGGGCGGUGGCCUCCUAAAAAGUAACGGGGGUGUGCAAUGACUUUGUGAAGCAUAUGUGCUAUGCGAGUAUUAUAAUGAAUCAAACUUAGUCUGAUUUAGUAACCGAUAGGUUCCUAAAGGGUAAAUAUAUAUUUUUGCCUGCCAUAGUGACCCGAUAGUUUUUUUUGACAAAGCUAUCGAUUAACGGAUAAAAGGUACGCCGGGGAUAACAGGCUAAUGACUCCUAAGAGUUCCCAUCGACGGAGUUGAUUGGCACCUCGAUGUCGGCUCACCAUAUCCUGGUUGAGAAUAAUCUUCCAAGGGUCGGUCUGUUCUACCGUUAAAAUGGUACGUGAGCUGGGUUCAGAACGUCGUGAGACAGUUUGGUCCCUAUCUGCUGUUAAGUAGAAAAAAUGUAGAACCCUGCCUUAGUACGAGAGGACUGGGAUGGAGCAAUCACUGGUAGGAGAACUGUUAGAUACCUAGCAAGUUCUUAAGCUAAAUUGCGAUGAGAUAAUUACUGAAAUCCAUUUUAAGUAAGAAGCUCUUCUGCAGAAUUUUCAUAAAGACAAACUAAAGACUAUAGUUUUAAAAUAUUAUUUAAUUGACUAAGUUGAAAAACUUUUGAGACUAAAUAAAUAUAAUGUCUAUAUCUU
rnacentral:rRNA from 1 species